AGCUUUGUGUAGUGGUAGUAUCAUAGCCAAUGAGGUUAAUCUGAGGUGUGAUUAUUGCUAGUUGAAAACUUUUCCCAAUACCCCGCCAUGGAGACUUGAAAUAUAGUUGACAUUGGCAAUUUUUGACAGUCUUAUGUAAGA
rnacentral:snRNA from 1 species